rnacentral:ncRNA from 1 species
UCGCUUGCGGUUGCAUGCUCAGCCAUGCAUGAAAAGGGAAUGUGGUGAGAAUCCACAGCAGUCCCCGCUACUGUAAGAAGGACGAACGCCCGGCGCUCCCCGUUUUGGAGCGCGGUUCCGCCACUGGGUUUUUCCCGGGAAGGCGCGGGUCAGUAGGAUGACUUCGAAGCCAGGAGACCUGCCGGAAGCG